rnacentral:rRNA from 1 species
UACGAGGGGUGCGAGCGUUGCUCGGAAUUAUUGGGCGUAAAGGGUAGGUAGGUGGUCUUAUUUGUCUGGGGUGAAAGCCUUGAGCUUAACUCAAGAAGUGCCCCAGAAACGGUAAGACUAGAGUCUUGGAGAGGGUCGUGGAAUUCCCGGUGUAGCGGUGAAAUGCGUAGAGAUCGGGAGGAACACCAGAGGCGAAGGCGGCGACCUGGACAAGUACUGACGCUGAGGAGCGAAAGCGUGGGGAGCGAACAGG